CCAUCCACCAUAGGUGUGUUGCUGGUAUGGACUCUGUGUCACAUGCAUAUCAGUAGGUGGCAGAGAGAACAAAGGCUGUGUCUAUGCUCAGUAUUCUGACCAACACCUAAAUAGAUUAGAAGCCUAACACU